GCAGUAGUAUCGAAGUGGUCAUAACGAGCACGACUGGAAAUCGUGUAGCCUGAUAAGGGCUCGAGGGUUCGAAUCCCUCCUACUGCG
rnacentral:tRNA from 1 species